rnacentral:rRNA from 1 species
AUGGUCCCAGAACAGCUUCGUCAAUAUGAGUUGAAGCAAAGCAAGAAGAAGUUGAGGUUUGAAAUUGAGUCAAAAGAGUUUGCUGAGAAGGAGAAGCAGAGGAGAUCUGCAGAUGGUGCCAAGGGUGGUAAAUUUGGCAAGGUGAAGAAGAGGUUGAGUACUGUUGCUGAGGAAGGUGGUACACCUCGGCGGAGUCCAUGUGUUGCUGGAAUGAAGAAUAAUCUUGGCAAGAGAACCGCUGAAGCUGGUGGAAGUGAUGAUCCUCAGUGCAAAUGA